ACCAAUUCUAGCCCAACCACCACUCAACUAAAUUAUCAUUAUAUAAUAAAUUAAAACAUUUAACCACCUAAAUAAAAGUAUAGGAGAUAGAAAUUAUUACAAGGCGCUAUAGAGACAGUACCGUAAGGGAAAGAUGAAAGAAUAAUUUUAAGUACAACAAAGCAAAGAUUAACACUUGUACCUUUUGCAUAAUGAAUUAACUAGAAAACCUAUAACAAAAAGAAUUUUAGCUAUAGACCCCGAAACCAAACGAGCUACCUAAAAACAAUUUUAUGAAUGAACCCGUCUAUGUGGCAAAAUAGUGGGAUGAUUCUUAGGUAGAGGUGAAAAGCCUAACGAGCUUGGUGAUAGCUGGUUACCCAGAAAACGAAUAUUAGUUCUUCCUUAAAUUUUACCAUAAGAACACAAAAUCCAAACGUAAACUUAAAGGAUAAUCUAAAGAGGGACAGCUCUUUAGAUAAAGGACUCAACCUUAUAUAGAGAAUAAACUUAAACCAAACCCCAUAGUUGGCUUAAAAGCAGCCACCAAUUAAGAAAGCGUUCAAGCUCAACCCCAAUACAACCUCAAUACCCAAAAUCACAAUGAAUUCCUAAACAAAUACUGGGUCAAUCUAUAAAACUAUAGAUGAGAUAAUGUUAAUAUGAGUAACAAGAAAAAUUCUCCCAUGCACAAGCCUAUAACAAACCGAAUACCCAUUGUUAGUUAACAAAACCCUAGAUAUAAACCAAAUAUAAAUCCCCUAGACGAACCAAUUGUUAACCCGACACAGGAGUGCAGUAAGGAAAGAUUAAAAGAAGUAAAAGGAACUCGGCAAACAUAAACCCCGCCUGUUUACCAAAAACAUCACCUCUAGCAUUGCUAGUAUUAGAGGCACUGCCUGCCCAGUGACACACGUUAAACGGCCGCGGUAUCCUGACCGUGCAAAGGUAGCAUAAUCACUUGUUCCUUAAUUAGGGACUUGUAUGAAAGGCAAGACGAGGGUUUAACUGUCUCUUACUUCCUAUCAGUGAAAUUGACCUACCCGUGAAGAGGCGGGUAUUAACAAAUAAGACGAGAAGACCCUAUGGAGCUUUAAUCAACCCUCUUACUAACUAACACUAACAACCUAAUGGAUCAACAACACAGAUAGUACAAGAGAAAAGAUUUCGGUUGGGGUGACCUCGGAGUACAAAAAAACCUCCAAGUGACUUAACUCUAGGCUUACCAGCCUAAAGAUACUUAAGUAGUCAACAAUUGAUCCAAUCAUGAAAUUGAUCAACGGACCAAGUUACCCUAGGGAUAACAGCGCAAUCCUAUUUAAGAGUUCAUAUCGACAAUAGGGUUUACGACCUCGAUGUUGGAUCAGGACACCCAAAUGGUGCAGCCGCUAUUAAUGGUUCGUUUGUUCAACGAUUAAAGUCCUACGUGAUCUGAGUUCAGACCGGAGUAAUCCAGGUCGGUUUCUAUCUAUUAACAACUUCUCCUAGUACGAAAGGACCAGAGAAGUAAGGUCAACUAUUCAAUAGCACCUUAAACAUAACAUAUGAAACUAUCUAAAUAUACAAAAUAUGUAGUACCACCACCCAAGACAAGGGUUAUU
rnacentral:rRNA from 1 species